AGACGCUGGCGGCGUGCCUAAUACAUGCAAGUCGAGCGGGGAUUAUGCUUGAUCGCUUCGGUGAGACGGCAUAUAUCCUAGCGGCGGACGGGUGAGUAACGCGUGGGUAAUCUACCUCGUAGUUCGGGAUAACAGGCCGAAAGGCUUGCUAAUACCGGAUGAGUUCAUGCUUAUGCAUAUAGGCAUGAAGAAAGGGCUAGCCCGCUAUGAGAUGAGCCCGCGUCCCAUUAGCUUGUUGGUGGGGUAAUGGCCUACCAAGGCAACGAUGGGUAGCCGGCCUGAGAGGGUGUACGGCCACACUGGGACUGAGACACGGCCCAGACUCCGUACGGGGGGCAGCAGUAGGGUAAUUUUCGGCAAUGGGCGAAAGCCUGACCGAGCGACGCCGCGUGAGGGACGAAGGCCUUCGGGUUGUAAACCUCUGUCUGGGGGGAUGAGAACGGACGGUACCCCCGGAGGAAGCCCCGGCUAACUACGUG
rnacentral:rRNA from 1 species